rnacentral:lncRNA from 1 species
GAGGCCACCUGGGAGCAGAGCCCAGGCCACCCUUGUGAGUGGGGCUCAGGGACCAGUAACGGCCAGGGGGCCUGACUGGGACAGAGACCUCAUGUGAGCCUUAUUCUGUGCCCCCCAGGACUGCCCUGCCUCUCUCCCAGGAGCCAGAACCUUCUCCCAGCAGGCAGAGCCACCUUGCACUUAAGAACAUCCAGGUGGGCCUGGGUCCCUACAGUGAGGGGGCGGGGAGAACAAAUGGGAGAUGGACCUCAGGGAGCGGGCCCAACCUGAAGGCAGAGCCCUCCCAACUCCCCGAACUCCUGAACGGUCCCCAGCACACCACUAGCCCUGGCCAGUUCCCACAAGGCCAGGUUCAGGUAGAGACCAUUGUUGGGGCCUUCCUCUCUCCCACCAUGAGAAGUAAGAAGCCAGGGCUUUUCCUACCCAACACCCCUGCUUUCCAGGGGAACCUCUUUCUCCACCUCUCAGAUCAUUCAUUAAAAAAUCCAUUGAUGCUACGGCUGAGUCCCUUUGCUGUCCACCUGAAACUAUCACAACAUUUUUAAUUGGUUAUAUUUCAAUAUAAAAUUUAGUUUUUUUUUUAAACUGAUGCCUGGCCCAUGGCUGGCCACAGGGAGCCCACAAAGCAAAAGGCUCAGGCUGCCCUCAUGCCUCCCGGAUGCUACCAAAGUGCUGAAUACAGGACGGGGGAGCAUGGGAACCUAGGGAAGAAUCUACAACCCACUAGGGGCCAAGAGGGCCGCCUGGCACAGGGCCGUGCUAGAGUCUGUGCAGCCACUCACCUGCCUUCUCUUCCAGAUUCUUGGCCUAGAGCUGGAGAAGCAGCAGCUACAGCAGGAAGAGGAUGAACUGCAGAAGCUGCCCCCACAGCCCCCCUACUACGAUCUGGGGGCCUCCCCCUCCUACCACCCCUUGGCCUUUGUCUCCACAGCCUCACCACGCUCCCUCUCGGCUGGAAGGGCCAAAGAGAAUGCAUCUCAAGAUGCCAAACCUUGCCCCUGGGAGGCAGCGUUCCUAUCCCGGGUGCUCAGCCCAGAGGACCAACCCGGCCCCCACCUUCCAAUUCCAUGCAGGGGCAGGUGCCGGCAGUCUCGGAGGACUCCACUCAGCUGUGUCCCUCAGACCAGGGGUUCACUGUGGCGUCAGCAUGUCCAUCCCAGUCCCACACUGGGAAAUUCCAUGUCCCCCAGCAGUGAAUUUGCCCUGUUCUCUGGGGUCCUUGCCAGGCUGUUGAAUCCCACAUCCUGAGAAAGUGCCCCCAGGUCAGUGUGGUCUUGCUUAUUCCCCCAAAUCCCACCCACAAAUGCCCGCCCAGCUUCUGCUAGAAUUCCUAGAGAAUUCCUGCCACUCCUUGCUCCUUGGACGUACUCUCUCCUCCCUCAGCAGGUCCAGCUGGCCCCAGCUGGGUCAUGCUGGGCUUUAAACUUAGCUAUCAGCCUGGUAGCCAGGAAGGCGGGUGGGGGCAGCUCUCGAAGAGUGUGCCUCUCGCCUUGUAGGGUGAGCCUGGGAUGAUGGUAGCUCUUGCUGGCUUAGGCCAGGCACCUCCGUGUGCUCUGAGGGACAUAUCCUCAAGAGCCUUUUUCGUUUGUUUGUUUUGUGUUGGGUUUUUUUUUUUUUAAAUAAGUUUAUUUAUAUAUUUCUUUGGCUGUGCUAGGUCUUCGCCGCUGCACGUGGGCUCUUCUCUAGUGGCGAGGUGGAGGCUUUCAGGGGCUUCUCUUGUUGCAGAGUAACAGGCUCUACAGGCGUGGGCUCAGUAGCUGCAGUUCCCAGGCUCCCUAGUCGCAGCACACAGCCUCAGUUGCUUCACAGCACGUGGGAUCCUCCCAGAUCACACGUGUCUCCUGCUCUGGUGGGCGGAUUCUUUACCACUGAGCCACCAGGGAAGUCCAGAGACCUUGUUUGGCCAAAAAUUUUACUUUCGUUUUAGGUUCGAAGGAUUCAUUAACAACAGAAACCUCUCAUUACACACACAAUAAACAAUUUCAAUUUUAAAUAGAGGAUUUUUAAACUUCAUUUCAAUAUACAUCAUUAAAAGCAAAGAAAUAGAAACAACAGAGAGAAGGAACGGCACAUACUUCACCAAAUUGGGCUGACAACCCACAUCCAGACUUGAACAGCGCUGGGAAGUCCCAUGUAACAGCAAUCUGGAGUCCCGACUGGCAAAAGGCCCCAGGCAGCGUGUUCACCCCAUGGGUGAGACUUCAAAUUGCAGCUUUGGGGGCCACCACUUAUAAUCUCAGGCCACAAACGGACAUCAGCAUCAGUUUGCACACAAAAAUGCAGUUCUGGUUUUCCAUUAACUUUUAGAAUGCUAUUGGUUUUCACCUUGUGAGUCACAGGAUUUUCCAGACCCCAGGGGGCUGGCCAGGCCUACAGGGGCUCAGCAAAUUCCAAGACCCUCUCC